CGGCGGACGGGUGAGUAACGCGUGGGUAACCUGCCUCAUACAGGGGGAUAACAGUUAGAAAUGACUGCUAAUACCGCAUAAGACCACGGUACCGCAUGGUACAGUGGUAAAAACUCCGGUGGUAUGAGAUGGACCCGCGUCUGAUUAGGUAGUUGGUGGGGUAACGGCCUACCAAGCCAACGAUCAGUAGCCGACCUGAGAGGGUGACCGGCCACAUUGGGACCGAGACACGGCCCAG
rnacentral:rRNA from 1 species